CACCAUUCAUCCAAAGUCUGCUCUCUUACAGAUGAUGGCCAGUGAAUCUGAGAAGUGUAUGUUCUUGCCUUUGCAGUUUGAAUUCUCAAACUUAGAAAGAAAAGAAAAAAGAAAGGCAACUAAAACAUCCUGGAGCCAACACACUUUCUGCAGCCAGUUGAGGUCCUGCCAGGCAGCAGGGGAGAGGCUGAUUUCCCUGCAAGGAAACCAGGGGUUCAUCUGCCUCAAGUGAUGUCUUCUGUAGGAUUACGCGAACUGUCUGAGAAGGUUGAUAUUAGGCAGAUCCCUAAACCAGCAGUGAAGGAUCUGUUUGCAGAUCACUGGAAGAUUUCAAGAAGAUCUAAAGGAUCUUGAAAUGACACUAUCUGAAUCUUUUCAGUGAUGGGGGGAGUUGAAGUGCACUUUCGGUGGGAGAAUGUGGGCCAGGUAAGGAGAAGAAGGACAUGAAUGUAUAGUGAGCAUUUAUUAGUGACAUUGAGUUGGAAACUAGUUAAGAUAGACGUCGUCUUUUCUGAGCUAUGAAGUUUUAAGACAUGUCUUCAAAUUGUUUGACAUUUCUCUCACAAAAAAAAAUGUGAUAGAACUCCCUACUGCUUGAAUUCACACCAGCAAUAAUUGACUCACUCGUGAUGAAUAGAACACUAUAUAAAUUCUAUAGUUUCUGACUCUCUCUCUUCCCCACCCUUAGGUCUUUAGAACCCUGCACCUCCGUGUAGUAAAUUCAGCCACUUGAACCUAAAUCUAUGGACAUUGAGAAACUAGCUCAGGAACUCCAGCUGUUCCAUCUCACAGCUGUUCAAGUCCAGAGAGAACAAAGCUUUAGACAUUCCAGCCACUGGCUUUUGAGCCAUCCCAGCUGAUGGUGGGAAAAGCACAAAACUUUUUCUCACUGGGUCCUGUCCAGGCUGCAGAUUGCUGAGCAAAUUAUGCUUUUUGUGUAAGCCACUUCAGACUCCAGGAGUGUGUUGUGGAGCCAUAGCACCUGCAGCACUUACACAGGUGACUCAACCAGCCUCAGAAAAUGCCAGCCUUUGGUGUCACAGAAUAAGGCAAUGCAGAGCCAGGAACUGAAUCCUGGGUUUCCUUUCACUUAACUUCCUUCCUUUCAUCACAGUGUAUGGACCAACAUAUUUCCUUUCAUCAAUUGACUCAUGAGUUCCUGUUCCUCCAAUACAGGACCUACUAACAGUAUAUUCUAAAUGUAUAACUACUGAUAUUCUCAAAGCUGGUAUCUGGACAGUAAAUCUCUCUGCAAAGAUCUUGAAACACUGAUUUAAUAGUUACCAACACCCAAUUGUGUAUAGCAGUUGCACAUAAUUUGCAUACAUUUGCUAAAAUAAAUUAUAAUUG
rnacentral:lncRNA from 1 species